AUACGUAGGGCGCGAGCGUUGUCCGGAAUUACUGGGCGUAAAGAGCUCGUAGGUGGUUUGUCGCGUCGUCUGUGAAAUUCCGGGGCUUAACUCCGGGCGUGCAGGCGAUACGGGCAUAACUUGAGUACUGUAGGGGAGACUGGAAUUCCUGGUGUAGCGGUGAAAUGCGCAGAUAUCAGGAGGAACACCGGUGGCGAAGGCGGGUCUCUGGGCAGUAACUGACGCUGAGGAGCGAAAGCAUGGGUAGCGAACAGGAUUAGAUACCCUGGUAGUCCAUGCCGUAAACGGUGGGCGCUAGGUGUAGGGGUCUUCUACGACUUCUGUGCCGUAGCUAACGCAUUAAGCGCCCCGCCUGGGGAGUACGGCCGCAAGGCUAAAACUCAAAUGAAUUGACGGGG
rnacentral:rRNA from 1 species